GCCAUACAGCUAGCUUAUUUACUUCAUAACCUAAAAAUAUAAAUAUACUAAAAAUUAUUAACAUAAAUCAAACCAUUUUUCUGCUUUAGUACGGGAGACGGAAAAAGCUCUUUAAGCAAUAGAGAAAGUACCGCAAGGGAAAGCUGAAAAAGAAAUGAAACAAAUCAUUUAAGCGCCAAAAAGCAGAGAUUCACCCUCGUACCUUUUGCAUCAUGAUUUAGCAAGCACCUACAAGCAAAGAGACCUUUAGUUUGUUUCCCCGAAACCAAGUGAGCUACCCCGAGACAGCCUAUUGUGGGCCAACCCGUCUCUGUGGCAAAAGAGUGGGAAGAUCUCCGGGUAGGGGUGAUAGACCUACCGAACUUGGUAAUAGCUGGUUGCCCGGGAAAUGAAUAGAAGUUCAGCCUCGUAAGCCCCUUUAUCAAAAAAGCAAAAGCUUAACUAGAAUAAAAGAAAAUUACGAGAGUUAGUUAAAGGGGGUACAGCCCAUUUAACCAAGGACACAACUUUACCAGAAGGAUAGGGAUUAUAAUACUUAAGACCUGUCGUUUCAGUGGGCCUAAAAGCAGCCACCUGUACAGAAAGCGUUAAAGCUCAAACGACAAAAAAUCUAUUAUUCAAAUAACAAAUCCUACUCCUCUAUAUUUACCAGGCCAUUCCAUGCCACCAUGGAAGAGAUUAUGCUAAAAUGAGUAACAAGAGAAUCCACUUCUCUCCCCACACAAGUGUAAACCAGAUCGGACCAACCACUGGUAGUUACCGAACCCAAAAAUGAGGGUAACAUAAACAACAAACUAAACAAGAAAAGCUUAUGCUUAAACAAUCGUUAACCCUACACUGGAGUGUGAAUAGGAAAGACUAAAAGAAAAGGAAGGAACUCGGCAAACACAAGCCUCGCCUGUUUACCAAAAACAUCGCCUCCUGCAAACUUCUAAGUAUAGGAGGUCCAGCCUGCCCAGUGACCACAAGUUCAACGGCCGCGGUAUUUUGACCGUGCAAAGGUAGCGCAAUCACUUGUCUUUUAAAUGAAGACCUGUAUGAAUGGCUAAACGAGGGCUUAACUGUCUCCCUUUUCAAGUCAGUGAAAUUGAUCUGCCCGUGCAGAAGCGGACAUAAAAAUACAAGACGAGAAGACCCUUUGGAGCUUUAGGUACAAGUCCAACCACGUCAAGCAGCCUCAAAAUAGGCCUGAAACCUAGUGGAAACUGAGACUUUACCUUCGGUUGGGGCGACCACGGAGAAAAACUUAUCCUCCGAGUGGACUGGGAAAAUCCAGCCUAAAACCAAGAAAGACAUUUCUAAGUCACAGAAAAUCUGACCAAGCAUGAUCCGGACAAUAUGUCCGAUCAACGGACCAAGUUACCCUAGGGAUAACAGCGCAAUCCUCUCCCAGAGUCCAUAUCGACGAGGGGGUUUACGACCUCGAUGUUGGAUCAGGACAUCCUAAUGGUGCAGCCGCUAUUAAGGGUUCGUUUGUUCAACGAUUAAAGUCCUACGUGAUCUGAGUUCAGACCGGAGUAAUCCAGGUCAGUUUCUAUCUGUAACGCCACUUUUCCUAGUACGAAAGGACCGGAAAAAAGAGGCCUAUGCCAAAAGCACGCCUCACCCAUAAUUAAUGAGACCAACUCAAUUAAAUAAAUGGGGGCCUAAAAACAGGCCAAGAUAAAGCCAC
rnacentral:rRNA from 1 species